rnacentral:rRNA from 1 species
GACAGAGGCCUCAAGCGUUGUUCGGAUUCAUUGGGCGUAAAGGGUGCGUAGGCGGUUGCCUAAGUCAGGUGUGAAAUCUCGAGGCUCAACCUCGAAACUGCACUUGAUACUGGGUAACUUGAGUACUGGAGGGGAGGCUGGAAUUUACGGUGUAGCAGUGAAAUGCGUAGAUAUCGUAAGGAAGACCAGUGGCGAAGGCGAGUCUCUGGACAGUUACUGACGCUGAGGCACGAAGGCUAGGGGAGCAAACGGG